rnacentral:rRNA from 1 species
UACGGAGGGUGCGAGCGUUGUCCGGAAUCACUGGGCGUAAAGGGCGCGUAGGCGGCCUGAUAAGUAGGGGGUGAAAUCCUGCGGCUUAACCGCAGGGCUGCCUUCUAAACUGUCAGGCUCGAGCACAGUAGAGGCGAGUGGAAUUCCCGGUGUAGCGGUGAAAUGCGCAGAUAUCGGGAGGAACACCAAUGGCGAAGGCAGCUCGCUGGGACGGUACUGACGCUGAGGCGCGAAAGCGUGGGGAGCAAACAGG